GUGCUUGCUUUGGCAGCACAUAUAUUCACACUGGAAGGAUACCAAGAUUAGCAUGACCACUGUGCAGGGAUGACAUACAAAUUCCUGAAGCAUUCCAUAUUUUU